GUGCAAUUUUUGGAUAAUCGCGUAGUAUUUUAAUACUAUGAGGAAAGUCCAUGCUAGCACUGGCUGUGAUGCCAGUAGUGAUUGUGCUAGGCGAACACAUAAGCCUAGGGAUGUGCAUACACAUUACGGCGAAGGAAAUGGCUAAGUCGUUUGAUAUGCCAAAGUACUUCUGAAAGUGCCACAGUGACGUAGUUUUUAUGGAAACGUAAAAAAUGGAACGCGGUAAACCCCUCAAGCUAGCAACCCAAACUUUGGUAGGGGCAUGGGAUAGUUGGAAACGAACAAGCUAUCCUGACUGUCAACAGACGGUAGACAGAUGAUUAUCGAAGGAAAUAAUUCCUAGUUAUUUCCGGAACAAAACAUGGCUUAUAGAAAAUUGCAUAAUAGGUUAAGCUAGCAUUUGCUAGCUUUU
rnacentral:RNase_P_RNA from 1 species